rnacentral:rRNA from 1 species
AGUGAACGCUGGCGGUAGGCCUAACACAUGCAAGUCGAACGGCAGCACAGUAAGAGCUUGCUCUUACGGGUGGCGAGUGGCGGACGGGUGAGGAAUACAUCGGAAUCUACUUUUUCGUGGGGGCUAACGUAGGGAAACUUACGCUAAUACCGCAUACGACCUACGGGUGAAAGCAGGGGAUCUUCGGACCUUGCGCGAUUGAAUGAGCCGAUGUCGGAUUAGCUAGUUGGCGGGGUAAAGGCCCACCAAGGCGACGAUCCGUAGCUGGUCUGAGAGGAUGAUCAGCCACACUGGAACUGAGACACGGUCCAGACUCCUACGGGAGGCAGCAGUGGGGAAUAUUGGACAAUGGGCGCAAGCCUGAUCCAGCCAUACCGCGUGGGUGAAGAAGGCCUUCGGGUUGUAAAGCCCUUUUGUUGGGAAAGAAAAGCAGCAGGUUAAUACCCCGCUGUUCUGACGGUACCCAAAGAAUAAGCGCCGGCUAACUUCGUG